UGCAAUCUCGGAGCCAUUAAGCUCUGGACUGCAGAAGCAGCACUUGUUAGGAUAUAGACUAAGAAUGCCUCUACUACAGGACGUCCUGAGGGGGGUUCCAAGUGGAGUCAAAUCAUCUGGGCAGGGUGUUGUCAGAGACUGGAAAGAUUUCCCAGGGGAGAGGAAAAACUGGUGCAGCAGGUGUCUUCACAAGCGCUCUGUGUAUUGGUAAAAAACAUGUAGCAGCACACCUCUGUGUCCAAGCACAUCUCCAUUGCUUCUCCACUUCUCCUCUGAUGAAGCUUCUAUUCCAUCUGCACUUCACUGCAACACUUUAUCUGCGGGAGGGAGGGGAUAUGGUCUUAGACUUCAAAUGAUUGCAUUGUUCCAAAACACUGUGGCGGCUGUGGCUGAGGGGUAGAGUGGUCGUCCUCCAACCUGAAGGUCGGCAGUUCGAUCCCUAGUCUGACCCAUCUGCAUGCCGAAGUUUCCUUGGGCAAGAUGCUGAACCCCGAAUGGCCCCCCAUAGAAUAACAAAGUGCUGCGAAUAGAUGCACUGUAUGAAUGUGUGUGUGAAUGGGUGAAUGUAGAACUGUACUGUAAAGCGCUUUGAGUGGUCAUCAAGACUAGAAAAACGCUAUAUAAAUACAAAACCAUUUGUCAUGUUACAGGCUGUGAUGGGUCUGUCUCAUCAAUUAAUAAUAUGGAGCAAUCGAGCUCUAUAAUUGUCAUUCAGCUUCAAUUAUUUAUUCAUUCUUGCCAAUUUCCUUAUGGCCGUGUCUGGAGGUUGGAAACCUCAGACUGGACUGCAUAAGAAACAGAUAAGAUACGACUAUAUUGAUAUCACACUAGGGAAAUUCACUUGUUACAGCAGCAUACAGUCAGAAUAAAUAAUAAGUACAUAAUAUACAACUGCAGAUAUAUUAUUACAGUUAAUUCCCCCAUCUUGUCGUGUCAGUCUGCCUAUGUGGGACCUGCUGGGAUCACUUGGUUAACAGUGGGUUUGUUGCAGUUAGAAAAAGUCGCCACUGGAGGGUGUGCUUCUGUCCCUCACAUCAGUAAUGCCACACUGUAAAGAUGAGCAUACAACAGUGUCAUCAGUGAGAAUUCAUAUAGACCACAGCUUUGUGUCUGUAAAAAACACUCAACUCUAAAAUAGAAUUACAAUUAAUCAGUUAGUCAGUCCUGAAGUCUCAAUUCAUGAAAAGGGGUUCUGUUCUUUGUCAUUUGAACAGAGCCGAGUGGUGGAGCCCCUUUUGUUUUGUCUUUUUAAUUAUUAUUUAUAUGCUGAGUGAAGGACUUGAAGCUUGUUCAAAAUUUAAAAGCAACAAAAGGAAUCCAUUCAAUAGGACUUCAUAGUUUACCAUUGAAUCAUACUCUCCUGUAACAGGCCUAUCAAACGUAUCUUCGAGCUGCUCUGGUGUAUGGGGAACAAACAAUAAUAUCUGAUGUAACUGAAGGAAACAUUUCAUUUUAUG